GUCCCUCUGUCCUCUGCCCUCCAGGUAGUCCGUAACCCCACUAUUGACUACUGUAUGUCCCUCUGUCCUCUGCCCCCCAUGUAGUCCGUAACCGCACUAUUGACUACUGUAUGUCCCUCUGUCCCCCAGGUAGUCCGUAACCCCACUAUUGACUACUGUAUGUCCCUCUGUCCUCUGCCCCCCAGGUAGUCCGUAACCCCACUAUUGACUACUGUAUGUCCCUCUGUCCUCUGCCCCCCAGGUAGUCCGUAACCCCACUAUUGACUACUGUAUGUCCCUCUGUCCUCUGCCCCCCAGGUAGUCCAUAACCCCACUAUUGACUACUGUAUGUCCCUCUGUCCUCUGCCCCCCAGGUAGUCCGUAACCCCACUAUUGACUACUGUAUGUCCCUCUGUCCUCUGCCCCCCAGGUAGUCCGUAACCCCACUAUUGACUACUGUAUGUCCCUCUGUCCUCUGCCCCCCAGGUAGUCCGUAACCCCACUAUUGACUACUGUAUGUCCCUCUGUCCUCUGCCCCCCAGG